rnacentral:rRNA from 1 species
GACGAACGCUGGCGGCGUGCUUAACACAUGCAAGUCGAACGCUGAAGCUCAGCUUGCUGGGUGGAUGAGUGGCGAACGGGUGAGUAACACGUGAGUAACCUGCCCUCUUCUUUGGGAUAACGCCCGGAAACGGGUGCUAAUACUGGAUAUUCACUGAUUCUCGCAUGGGGGUUGGUGGAAAGGUUUUUUCUGGUGGGGGAUGGGCUCGCGGCCUAUCAGCUUGUUGGUGGGGUGAUGGCCUACCAAGGCUUUGACGGGUAGCCGGCCUGAGAGGGUGACCGGUCACAUUGGGACUGGGAUACGGCCCAGACUCCUACGGGAGGCAGCAGUGGGGAAGAUUGCACAAUGGGCGAAAGCCUGAUGCAGCGACGCCGCGUGAGGGAUGGAGGCCUUCGGGUUGUAAACCUCUUUCGCUCAUGGUCAAGCCGCAGCUUUGGGUUGUGGUGAGGGUAGUGGGUAAAGAAGCGCCGGCUAACUACGUG